rnacentral:rRNA from 1 species
GACGAACGCUGGCGGCGUGCUUAACACAUGCAAGUCGAGCGGUAAGGCCCUUUUGGGGGUACACGAGCGGCGAACGGGUGGGUAACACGUGGGUGACCUGCCCUCAGCUCUGGGAUAAGCCUGGGAAACUGGGUCUAAUACUGGAUAUGACCUUUCCUCGCAUGGGGUUGGGUGGAAAGUUUUUCGGCUGGGGAUGGGCCCGCGGCCUAUCAGCUUGUUGGUGGGGGUGAUGGCCUACCAAGGCGACGACGGGUAGCCGGCCUGAGAGGGCGACCGGCCACACUGGGACUGAGACACGGCCCAGACUCCUACGGGAGGCAGCAGUGGGGAAUAUUGCGCAAUGGGCGGAAGCCUGACGCAGCGACGCCGCGUGGGGGAUGACGGCCUUCGGUUGUAACC